GCAGUCGACGGCAGCACGGACUUCGGUCUGGUGGCGAGUGGCGAACGGGUGAGUAAUAUAUCGGAACGUGCCCAGUCGUGGGGGAUAACGUAGCGAAAGUUACGCUAAUACCGCAUACGAUCUAAGGAUGAAAGCGGGGGAUCGCAAGACCUCGCGCGAUUGGAGCGGCCGAUAUCAGAUUAGGUAGUUGGUGGGGUAAAGGCUCACCAAGCCAACGAUCUGUAGCUGGUCUGAGAGGACGGCCAGCCACACUGGAACUGAGACACGGUCCAGACUCCUACGGGAGGCAGCAGUGGGGAAUUUUGGACAAUGGACGAAAGUCUGAUCCAGCCAUUCCGCGUGCAGGAUAAAGGCCCUCGGGUUGUAAACUGCUUUUGUGCGGAACGAAAAGGUCUUUAUUAAUACUAGGGGCUCAUGACGGUACCGUAAGAAUAAGCACCGGCUAACUACGUGCCAGCAGCCGCGGUAAUACGUAGGGUGCAAGCGUUAAUCGGAAUUACUGGGCGUAAAGCGUGCGCAGGCGGUUAUAUAAGACAGAUGUGAAAUCCCCGGGCUCAACCUGGGAACUGCAUUUGUGACUGUAUAGCUGGAGUGCGGCAGAGGGGGAUGGAAUUCCGCGUGUAGCAGUGAAAUGCGUAGAUAUGCGGAGGAACACCGAUGGCGAAGGCAAUCCCCUGGGCCUGCACUGACGCUCAUGCACGAAAGCGUGGGGAGCAAACAGGAUUAGAUACCCUGGUAGUCCACGCCCUAAACGAU
rnacentral:rRNA from 1 species